UGAUUUGAAGGUGAAAGUGAUGGUUAAUGUGUAACAUUUGAAUCUAUUGGAUUUAAAAGAAUGUCAAACUCAAAAUCAAUGGUUCUUUAAAUUUAUUUCUUCCCUAGGAGUAGCAACGGUGGGUGGGGAGCUUUGAAGGACUGAUGUGUUUAAGAAAAAAAUAACGGAGGGGAUGUAAAGGUGAUGGGGUGACGAGAUUGACAAAUAUAAGUGAAAAAUUAGAAGAGUAAGGUUGAAGAGAACCACUGGAUUUUGUCAUUAUUCGAUUUUCUAGAGAUGUUCACUACUGGCAAAAAGAAGGGGCAUAUGUC
rnacentral:lncRNA from 1 species